rnacentral:rRNA from 1 species
UACGUAGGGGGCAAGCGUUGUCCGGAUUUAUUGGGCGUAAAGAGCGUGUAGGCGGCCGUACAGGUCAGCUGUGAAAACUCGAGGCUCAACCUCGAGACGUCGGUUGAAACCGUACGGCUAGAGUCCGGAAGAGGAGAGUGGAAUUCCCGGUGUAGCGGUGAAAUGCGUAGAGAUCGGGAGGAACACCAGUGGCGAAGGCGGCCUUCUGGACCAAUACUGACGCUCAUGCACGAAAGCGUGGGGAGCAAACAGG